rnacentral:lncRNA from 1 species
GGGGAGGUUAAGGGAAGGAGAGGGAUGCUGCAGCCGGAGGGCCCCCAGGCCUCGGAGGAGAGGGGCCCCCGGAGGAGAGGAGAGACUGCAUCAUCUGCUGCUCGGCCUAUGACCUCUCCGGGCACCUGCCCCGCCGCCUCUACUGUGGACACACCUUCUGCCAGGCGUGUGUGCGGCGGCUGGACACACCGGCGCCCGAGCAGCGCUGGAUCCCCUGUCCGCAGUGCCGUCAGAGCACGCCCACGCCUCGCGGAGGGGUGGCCAUGCUAGACCUGGACCUGGCUGCUUUCCUGGCAGUCAAGGCUGAGCGGGAGCCGGCAAGACUAGAACCCCUGCCCCUCACCUCCCUCAAAGGCAGCGCCAUCACUCAGCAGCCAGCUGGGCUGUGCCCUGCCCUGGGACCCCAGCCCCACUUCCCCCAGCCCAGAUACUGCUGCUGGGGCUGUGGCAGCCUCUGCUGCCCACCCCUAGGCAGCCCCGAGGUCUGAACUCUGGCCAUUCCCACCCCUGCAGGGGAAAUGCCUGCCUUGGAACCCCUGACCACACACCAUCAUGGGUUCAGCCCACUCAGAACAACCUGGCAGUAGCAUCCUAUAGCAGCUUCGUGUGGCCCAGCAGGGUGGUGUCAUCCCAGCCGUGAACAUCCCAGGCCACAGCCUAAGGUUGGGGGCUGGGAGGCUCCGCAGGAGGCUGGUGACCUCCCACCUGUCCUGGCCACAAUUACCAGACCCCAGACUAGCCCGACCGGAUGUGCCUGGUGAGGACACUGCUGUCUGAGUGGGCGGCAAGCCUGGCUUGGGCCUAGACGCAGCGCAAAGGAUGGCUCCCAAGAGGAUGCGAAGGCCAGUCCCGGGGGCCUGGGCUGCAGGCUGGAGGGGCAGGGCCGGUCUGGCUAUGCCUGGCGGGCUGCCCAGAGCAGGUAUCCCCUCUCCCACAGACGUCCCCGGGGUGUACCAGGAGGGUGGCAAGACUACCUCCUUCCUCCCCGCCCUGCAUGGCAGCCCUGUGAAUUCACCCACUCAACAAAGCUCAUGGAGUUCCCACUGUGUGUCGGGUGCGGUUCUGGGAGGGUCUCGUGCAGGCACGAAGCCAUACAGGCAUUGAAGAGGACGCCUCGGCGGGGCCUGCCUGAGGCCAACAGAGGGCUGGGGCCUGCUUGAGGUCUCACAGCCCAGUUGGUCUCAUCCUUCGCUGAACCUUUCUUGGCUCCGAGCAGCCACCACACAGACCCUUUUGAGGGGCCGGGGCUGGGGCUGGGGCCAGAGACUGUGGACAGCAGUUACCACCAAGUCAGUGCUGCAACACCCCCACCCCCACUGGAACGAGCUGUCACUCAGGAGCCCCAGGGAAGGACUGCU